rnacentral:misc_RNA from 1 species
UUAAGUUCAGCGGGUAAUCCUACCUGAUUUGAGGUCAAGACUUAAAUUGUGUUGCCUAAUGGCAGUCCAAAGACAAUUUGAAGCGGUCAGACAAAUUCACUAGCGACAGCACAGAUGAUCAAGUCUAUCAAACUGAGGCCAGUUGUUUGCAACCUGCUAAUGCAUUUAAAAGGAGCUGACUUUGACAGUUAGCAAGGCCU